rnacentral:rRNA from 1 species
CCUACGGGAGGCAGCAGUGAGGAAUAUUGGUCAAUGGACGGAAGUCUGAACCAGCCAUGCCGCGUGCAGGAAGACGGCUCUAUGAGUUGUAAACUGCUUUUGUACAGGGGUAAACGUGAAUACGUGUAUUCAUCUGAAAGUACUUUACGAAUAAGAAUCGGCUAACUCCGUGCCAGCAGCCGCGGUAAUACAGAGGAUCCAAGCGUUAUCCGGAUUUAUUGGGUUUAAAGGGUGCGUAGGGGGUAUGUCAAGUCAAGGGUGAAAGCCCCGCGCUCAACGUGGGAACUGCCUUUGAAACUGGCAAACUGGAGUGUGUGAGAGGAUAGUGGAAUGCCAGGUGUAGGAGUGAAAUGCGUAGAUAUCGGGAGGAACAUCAGUGGCGAAGGCGACUAUCUGGCACAUAACUGACGCUGAGGAGCGAAAGCGUGGGUAGCAAACAGGAUUAGAUACCCUUGUAGUC